ensembl:lncRNA
AACAGGAAGUAGUAAGUGAGCCAGAAGGAGUAGUAUCUUCCUUCAACAGGAAGUGGUAAGUGAGCCAGAAGGUAUAGUAUCUUCCUUCAACAGGAAGUGGUAAGUGAGCCAGAAGGUAUAGUAUCUUCCUUCAACAGGAAGUGGUAAGUGAGCCAGAAGGUAUAGUAUCUUCCUUCAACAGGAAGUGGUAAGUGAGCCAGAAGGUAUAGUAUCUUCCUUCAACAGGAAGUGGUAAGUGAGCCAGAAGGUAUAGUAACUUCCUUUAACAGGAAGUGGGAAGUGAGCCAACAUCGGAGAAGCCGUGUUUACAGAGGGACGUGGUUUAUAUCGAUAGAUAUCUACUCUACUGGCGC